AUCAGUUACUAUGGUAUGUCUGUCGCAAACGAACCGGCCCCGCCGUAGGUUGUUUCUAAGGCGAGUGGUCAUUCAUGGUAGAGGUUGAGUUUACUUAAGUUUUAUUUUGAAAUCAGGAUUAUAGGUUCAUGGCUUCCAACAGACUCAAAAAUCUGCUGUUAAUUACCCUACACUUUCGGUGUUAAAGAACCCUUGAUUAAGAAACCAAUUAUAAAUGCUGAUAAUAAAUAAGACAAAACAGGCAAAUAAAAUUUUAUUAAUAUGAUUUGCCGUAUACAUGGCUUAAGCAGGGGCAUACCCCCACUGUACAUGAAUUUUAUAAAAUUAAAUACACAGUUUAUAGACUUGGUGGUCGGUCGGGAUCAAAUUGAGAUGCUCAGUUUAGCGACAUGACGGUCGAUUUUAAAUUGAGUUGCUCAGUUUAAUGACGUGGCGGUUGGCUUGAAAUGAGUUGCUCAGUUUAGCGACAUGGUAGUCAAUUUUAAAUUAAGUUGCUCAGUUGAUAAAAACAUGGCGGUCAAUGUUAAAAUUGAAUUGCUCAAUUUAGCAACAUGGCGGACGAGUUCAAAUUGAGUUGCUCAGUUUAGCGACAUGGCGGUCGAUUUAAAAUUGAGUUGCUCAGUUUAGUGACAUGGUGGUCGACUUUAAAUUCAGUUGCUCAGUUUAAUGACAUGGCGGUCGGCUUAAAUUGAGUUGCUCAGUUUAGCGAUAUGGCGGUCGGCUUCAAAUUGAGUUGCUCAGUUUAAUAACAUGGCGGUAGGCUUGAAUUUUGGUGCUCAGUUUAAUGACAUGGCGGUCGGAUAUUUAGUUUAACGACUUGAUGGUCAAUUACUCAGUUUAACGACUUGACGGUCGUAUCGGAAUUUGAUUUGCUCAGUUUAGCGACUUGGCGGUCGAUUUAAAAUCGAGUUGCUCAGUUUAGUGACAUGGCGGUCGACUUUAAAAUUUAGUUGCUCAGUUUAGCGACAUGACAGUCGACUUUAAAUUGAGUUGCUCAGUUUAAUGAUAUGGCGGUCGGCUUGAAUUUUGGUGCUCAGUUUAAUGACAUAGCGGUCGGAUGUUCAGUUUAUCGACUUGAUGGUCAAAUACUCAGUUUAACGAUUUGACGGUCGUAUCGGAAUUUGAUUUGCUCAGUUUAGCGACUUAGUGGUCGAUUUAAAAUCGAGUUGCUCAGUUUAGUGACAUGGCGGUCGGCUUUGAGUAUAAUCUCAUGAAUUGGUUCAUGAAAUUAAUUCAUGCUAAAAGCCCAUUUUAUAAAGUUCAUUGAAUUAAUUGAUGAAAUUAAUUCAUGAUAGGGGCUAUUUGGAGAGCCUAUUGAAUUAAUUUAUGAUAAGGAGCCAUUUGUAGGGCCCAUUAAUUCAUGAAAUUAAUUUAUGACAAGGAGGGCCCAUGAAAUUAAUUCAUAGAAUUAAUUCGUGAUAAAGGGCCUAUUUGGCAGAUCCAUGAAAUUAAUUUGUAAAAUUGAUUCAUGACAAGGGGUCUAGUUGGAAAGCCCAAGAAAUUAAUUCUUAAAAUUAAUUCAUACUAAGGGGCCCAUUUGGCAAGCCCAAGAACUCGGUUUGGGACAUAGGUUUGGUAGAUUUGGUUGUGUGUUAUUUAUGGACUUUGGAUUUUGGAUCUUUGGGUUUUGGGUUUUGGACCUUAUUUGUGGACUUUGGAUUUUGGGAUUUUAUUUGUGGAUUUUGGGUUUGGGAUUUUAUUUGUGGACUUUGGGUUUUGGGAUUUUGUUUGUGGAUUUUAUUUGUGGACUUUGGGUUUUGGGUUAAGAAAUGAAUUUUUAUUUGUUCUGGACUCAAAUCUACAUGUGGGUUGAGAUAU
rnacentral:lncRNA from 1 species